GAUGAACGCUGGCGGCGUGCCUAAUACAUGCAAGUCGAGCGAAUGGAUUAAGAGCUUGCUCUUAUGAAGUUAGCGGCGGACGGGUGAGUAACACGUGGGUAACCUGCCCAUAAGACUGGGAUGACUCCGGGAAACCGGGGCUAAUACCGGAUAAUAUUUUGAACUGCAUGGUUCAAAAUUGAAAGGCGGCUUCGGCUGUCACUUAUGGAUGGACCCGCGUCGCAUUAGCCAGUUGGGGAGGUAACGGCUCACCAAGGCAACGAUGCGUAGCCGACCUGAGAGGGUGAUCGGCCACACUGGGACUGAGACACGGCCCAGACUCCUACGGGAGGCAGCAGUAGGGAAUCUUCCGCAAUGGACGAAAGUCUGACGGAGCAACGCCGCGUGAGUGAUGAAGGCUUUCGGGUCGUAAAACUCUGUUGUUAGGGAAGAACAAGUGCUAGUUGAAUAAGCUGGCACCUUGACGGUACCUAACCAGAAAGCCACGGCUAACUACGUGCCAGCCGCCGCCGUAA
rnacentral:rRNA from 1 species